UCUGUCUUCUACUGGCAGCCUCCACUUAUUUCAUGCAAAGUCUUUUUGAUUCCUUCCUUCCUCCUCCAACAAUAAAACCGUUUUUUAAUGGUGUAACGAAGUGGAUUGCACAUGAGCUAAACACUCUACAUACCAACGAUAACCCCACACAGCCAAGUCUGGGAGAUGGUCCGAAAUGCUUUCUAUGGAAGACUUGCUGGAUAAAAGAGGAAACGAUGAAGAAAAGCAUGAAUUGCUUCUGGUCUCUCAUGAGUUCAUCCAUGAAUGUUGCAUGUUGGAUCCUCAGGCACAUGUCUGCAGGCUGUGAUCAAUGAUCUAUCCAUCCUGAUCCCAUCCUAUAACCUGUACCAAAGCUGCACGGCUCAGCUUUACCUGAACUGAAGAAAGAGAAAAGUGUUCCGUGUUCCUCUGUCCUGCUGGGGGUGUGCGAGGUGACGUGAGGAAGUAUUGAUCCUGUCUGUCCCCUGUGUACAGAUGUGUCAGGACUGUCAGCCGAUCUCUUCAGAGCAGAAGGAAGACGUGGCUCGUUGGGAGUCUCUGUCUGACAGCUUACCUUGGCUCUGUACGAGAUGUUGCUCUGUGCUGCGGAGAGUAUCUACUUGCAGCUUUGUUCUCGAGAACACCGAUCAUCAGCGCACCGCUGCUGUUUUCUACCUUUGUAUUUAUUUCUUUGUUUUGAAGUAACAUUAAUUUUUCAUGGCAGCUUCCAGGAAUGUUGUUUCUCGCCUUGAAUCAAUGGAGGAAUCAAAAUAUAGCAACUCUUGUGGCCAAACCUGUGUAACAAUUAUAGAAGAAAAGAUAUAAAGAACAUGAAAUGUUAUUUAUACUACAGUAAAACCAUGAAUAAAAAACACGAUUUCUAA